UCACUGAAGAAUUAUGCCACU
rnacentral:miRNA from 1 species